rnacentral:miRNA from 1 species
UUCUCAAUUCUGAAUGGCAGGU